rnacentral:rRNA from 1 species
CGCGUAGGCGGUACGACAAGUCUGGAGUGAAAGCCCGGGGCUCAACCCCGGAAUGUCUUUGGAAACUGUCGAACUUGAGUGCGGAAGAGGCAUCUGGAAUUCCCAGUGUAGCGGUGAAAUGCGUAGAUAUUGGGAAGAACACCUGAGGCGAAGGCGGGAUGCUGGGCCGACACUGACGCUGAGGCGCGAAAGCCAGGGAGCGAACG